AUUGAACGCUGGCGGCAGGCCUAACACAUGCCAGUCGAACGGUAACAGGAAACAGCUUGCUGUUUCGCUGACGAGUGGCGGACGGGUGAGUAAUGUCUGGGAAACUGCCUGAUGGAGGGGGAUAACUACUGGAAACGGUAGCUAAUACCGCAUAACGUCGCAAGACCAAAGAGGGGGACCUUCGGGCCUCUUGCCAUCGGAUGUGCCCAGAUGGGAUUAGCUAGUAGGUGGGGUAACGGCUCACCUAGGCGACGAUCCCUAGCUGGUCUGAGAGGAUGACCAGCCACACUGGAACUGAGACACGGUCCAGACUCCUACGGGAGGCAGCAGUGGGGAAUAUUGCACAAUGGGCGCAAGCCUGAUGCAGCCAUGCCGCGUGUAUGAAGAAGGCCUUCGGGUUGUAAAGUACUUUCAGCGGGGAGGAAGGGAGUAAAGUUAAUACCUUUGCUCAUUGACGUUACCCGCAGAAGAAGCACCGGCUAACUCCGUG
rnacentral:rRNA from 1 species